rnacentral:rRNA from 1 species
GACAGAGGUGCCGAGCGUUAGGCGGAAUCACUGGGCUUAAAGCGUGUGUAGGCGGAUCGUUAAGUGCCUUGUGAAAUCCCACGGCUCAACCGUGGAACUGCUUGGCAUACUGGCGAUCUUGAGCCACUUAGGGGCUACCGGAACAAAUGGUGGAGCGGUGAAAUGCGUAGAUAUCAUUUGGAACGCCAAUGGUGAAAACAGGCAGCUGGGAGUGUGCUGACGCUGAGACACGAAAGCCAGGGGAGCAAACGGG